GUGCAGUAGGCGCGAAACUUCACAAUGUGCGAAAGCACGAUGAGGGAAUCCCAAGUGCUUGCACGUAAGUGUAAGCUGUUCUCUGUCUAAAACGCAGAGAGAGGAAGGGCUGGGUAAGACCGGUGCCAGCCGCCGCGGUAACACCGGCAGCCCAAGUGGUAGCCACGUUUAUUGGGUCUAAAGCGUCCGUAGCCGGCUGGGUAAGUUCCUUGGGAAAUUUCGGCUGCUUAACAGUCAAGCUUUCAGGGAAUACUGCCCGGCUUGGGACCGGGAGAGGUCAGAGGUACUCCAGGGGUAGGGUGAAAAUCCAUUAAUCCUUGGGGGACCACCGGUAGCGAAGGCGUCUGACCAGACCGGGUCCGACGGUGAGGGACGAAGGCUAGGGGCGCGAACCGGAUUAGAUACCCGGGUAGU
rnacentral:rRNA from 1 species